rnacentral:rRNA from 1 species
AAUUGCGGGGGGCCGCAGGUGGAGCAGGUGGUUUAAUUUGAAGAACGGGAAGAACCUUACCAGGUCUUGACAUCUGACACCCCUAGAGAAGGGUCUUUCUUUCGGGAGCAGAGUGACAGGUGGGGCAUGGUUGUCUUCAGCUCGUGUCGUGAGAUGUUGGGUUAAGUCCCCCAACGAGCAACCCUUGUUUUUAUUUGCCAUCAUUAAGUUGGGCACUUUAAGGUGACUGCCGGUGACAAACCGGAGGAAGGGGGGGAGGAGGUCAAAUCAUCAUGCCCCUUAUGGCCUGGGUUACACCCGGUUCCAAUGGACGGUACAGAGAUGCAAGACCCCGAGGGGGAGCUAAUUUCAUAAACCGUUUUCAGUUCGGAUUGUAGGAUGCAACUCGCCUCCAUGAAGCUGGAAUCGUUAGUAUUGCCGGAUCAGCAUGCCCCGGGGAAUAAUUCCGCCUUGUACCCCCCCCCCGUCCCCCGAGAGUUGUAACCCCCAAGUCGGGGGGGUAACCUUUUGGAGCCAGCCGCUAAGGUG